rnacentral:rRNA from 1 species
UACGUAGGGUGCAAGCGUUAUCCGGAAUUAUUGGGCGUAAAGAGCUCGUAGGCGGUUUGUCGCGUCUGCUGUGAAAACUGGAGGCUCAACCUCCAGCCUGCAGUGGGUACGGGCAGACUAGAAUGCGGUAGGGGAGAUUGGAAUUCCUGGUGUAGCGGUGAAAUGCGCAGAUAUCAGGAGGAACACCCGUGGCGAAAGCGGCUCUCUGGGACGGUACUGACGCUGAGACGCGAAAGCGUGGGGAGCAAACAGG